CAUGAAUCUACGAGACAGCCGACAUAAUAUCUGGGCGACAACGGGUGCGCUAACAGUGCAGUCCUGGCUCACAUCGGAAGGAAUUUUACUGAUGGCCGUGAGAACUCUGUCACAAUUCCUUGCUCAAAUGGCAUCACGAUUCAACAUUUAAAGACUCUCUAAGCUGAUUAGUUAAAAGUUUUCUUGAUAAAAAUGGAGAAGAAUUAUAAACAGAAAUGCAGAGAAAUUAGAAAGCUAGUCCUAUGUAAAGAAGGAGCUAGUCCUUUACGUAGGAGCUAGUCUUAUGUAAAGAAGAUUCUACAUACUGAAACACACAGAUGAAUCCAGGAGACUAGCAGGAAAUCACAUUAUCAUCUUUCACUUUUCUCUCCUGAAACUGGAAGGACUAGAUUCUGAAAUAUUUGGGUUUAAUAAACAACAACCAUAAGAAUCCUUUUUCCUCCAAGAACUUCACAUUUCUCAGCUAUAGGGCAGAGUCCUGAUACCACACAUUAUUACAAAGUAAAGUCAAGCAAGAAAGAAGUGUUGGGAAUACUUGGAUCUGCAUACUUUUAAUGAAUAUAAACUCUUUAGCAUAGGACAUGAAAUGCAAAUCACGGGAAAAUGUAUGAUUCUAUUUACCAAAUAGUCACAAUCAAGUGAUCUGAUUAUAGGGCAAAAUUAGGAGAGACAUUCUAAAACUGUCUUUGUAGUGUCAUUAAAAAUAAUGAAGGUAUUUACA
rnacentral:lncRNA from 1 species